rnacentral:lncRNA from 10 species
AGACAGACCCUGUAAACAUGUCAGGGUUCAGUCCGGAACUCAUCGACUACUUGGAAGGGAAAAUCUCCUUUGAGGAGUUCGAACGGCGGAGAGAAGAGAGAAAAACCCGCGAGAAGAAAGUGAGGCGAUGCUAGGCCACGGUGCCCUUCACUCUUGUUGCCUUCAUACCCUUAGAGUCUUCAGGAAAAAGGCAAGUUAUCAGCUGAAGAAAAUCCCGAUGACUCUGAAGUUCCAUCAUCAUCAGGAAUUAACUCUACCAAAUCCCAAGACAAAGAUGUCAAUGAAGGAGAAACAUCAGAUGGAGUGAGGAAGUCAGUUCACAAGGUCUUUGCUUCCAUGCUUGGAGAGAAUGAAGAUGAUGAGGAGGAAGAGGAAGAAGAGGAGGAGGAGGAGGAGGAGGAAGAAACACCUGAGCAACCCACUGCGGGCGAUGUAUUUGUAUUGGAGAUGGUUCUCAAUCGUGAAACCAAGAAAAUGAUGAAAGUAAA